rnacentral:rRNA from 1 species
GUAAGGAAUAUUGGUCAAUGGACGAAAGUCUGAACCAGCCAUGCCGCGUGGAGGAUGAAGGUCCUCUGGAUUGUAAACUUCUUUUAUAUGGGACGAAAAAAGGCUUUUCUAAGUCGUCUGACGGUACCAUAUGAAUAAGCACCGGCUAACUCCGUGCCAGCAGCCGCGGUAAUACGGAGGGUGCAAGCGUUAUCCGGAUUCACUGGGUUUAAAGGGUGCGUAGGUGGAUUGCCAAGUCCGUGGUGAAAUCUUCGAGCUUAACUCGGAAACUGCCAUGGAUACUGGUGAUCUUGAAUAUCGUGGAGGUUAGCGGAAUAUGUCAUGUAGCGGUGAAAUGCUUAGAUAUGACAUAGAACACCAAUUGCGAAGGCAGCUGGCUACGCGAAUAUUGACACUCAGGCACGAAAGCGUGGGGAUCAAACAGGAUUAGAAACCCUUGGUCC